AGGCACCAGCGAGGAUCUUUCGCACAUGCUUUUGUUAAGCAUGGAGAAAGGUUUGGAGAUGAUAGUGAAAAAGUUCGGAAGUGGAACCCUUGACGGAGGUUGCAGAGCUUUCUGGCCGGAGCUCCGAGGGCGUGAAACAUAACUCAUUGAAGAAAUUGUUGCAGAAGUAUGAAAAAGGUUACAACCUAAAUUGCCACAUUAUGAUGAUGAAAUGAUUGGAACUGAUUCAAGGAUAAACAACGUGUGUUCACUUUUAAGGACAUAGUUAGAGGAAAUUAUCCUAGUGAAUCCCUUAAACUUUUUAGUCAAAAAGCUUUUAGAAGAGGAAAAACUGAAGAAGCUUUUGUAGAUUUAUCAAAACGGGUGGUUCAAUGUGCUGAAGGUAUUCCCUUAUGGGAAGACACUUUGAAAAUGUUGCAGCAGGAUCUACAAAAUGAUAUUUGCAAGACACUGAGAAUAAGCUAUGAUGGAUUGCGUGAUAUGGAAAAUACGAUAUUUUUAGAUAUUGCAUGUUUUUUCAAGGAGAGCCCCAAGGAUCAUGUAACACAAAUAUUGAAAAAUUGUGGUCUUAAUCCAUUGAUUGGUAUUGGCAUUCUUGUUGAAAAAUCAUUAAUAACUUAUGAUGGGUGACAUUUGGGGAGGCAUGAUUUACUUCAUGAAAUGGGUAGAAAUAUUGUUCUCCAUGAAUCUCUUAAUGAUGAUGGCAAGCGGAGUAGGUUGUGGUCUCUCAAGGAUAUUGAUCAAGUAUUGAGAAAUAAUAAGGGAACUAAAUCCAUUCAAGCUCUAGUUCUAAAUCUGUGUGAACCAUUUGAAGCAAACCUUGAAGUUUUUGCAAAGAUGAGUAAUUUUGGAUUGCUUGUGAUAUUAACUAAAUUGCAACUUCCACUUGGUCUCAAAUGUCUUCCCAGUGGGUCAAAAGUUCUUGUAUGGAAGGAAUAUCCUCUCGAGUCAUUGCCAGUUGGAGACCAAUUGGAUGAACUUGUUGACCUUGAUAUGUGUCAUAGCAAAAUAAAGCACAUUUGGAGAGAUCACAUGCACAUCUUUGUGUGUAUAUAUACAUAUAUGUAUAGAUAGAACUUGAGUUUUAAACCCUUCACGCUAUAAAUCUGUAAUAAACUCUAAUACCAUAUUAAAAUUUGGGUUUAAGAUCUAACUCAAUCCUAAAAGCUCACCCAAGAGGUAAGAAUUACUGGAGCCUUAUAUAAGGACUACUUUAGUCAUAUCUCUAGUAAAUGAGAGAUGUCAACACAUGCAAACGUACAUAAUGUAUUUAUUUAUGCAUUUUCAGUUUCCGGAACAUUUGAAGGCCAUCAAUUUGAGAAAUUCCAAAUAUCUACAUCAAACUCCAGAUUUAACUGGAAUUCCAAAUCUUGAAAAUUUUUGGAUGAGAUAUCCAUAAAUGAACUACCUCCAACUAUUGGUUAUGUGACAGGUCUUAAUAACUUGCUUUUACGGGAUUGUAAAUUUUUUGUCUCCCUUCCAAACACAUGAGGCUUUGGAGUGUCUUAAUGCGAGUAACACUCCUAUAAGAGAAAUUCCUUCCUCCAUUGUUGAUUUGAACAAUCUUAUAUUACUUUUAUUUCAUGGAUGCAAAGGACUAGCAUGGAACUCAGAGAGCUCACACCUCUCUAAGUUCCUACUACUAAUGUUUUAUGUCAACUAUGUCAAAAGUUGUUGGAGAAUGGUUUCGUUUCUGUUGUAGGAAAUUACAAGUGUCCUC